UACGGAGGGGGCUAGCGUUGUUCGGAAUUACUGGGCGUAAAGCGCACGUAGGCGGCUUGGUAAGUUAGAGGUGAAAGCCCGGGGCUCAACCCCGGAAUUGCCUUUAAGACUGCCUCGCUUGAACGUCGGAGAGGUGAGUGGAAUUCCGAGUGUAGAGGUGAAAUUCGUAGAUAUCUGGAGGAACACCGGUGGCGAAAGCGGCUCACUGGACCUGAUCUGACACUGAGGUGCGAAAGCUAGGGUAGCAAACGGG
rnacentral:rRNA from 1 species